CCUAACCUGAAAUGUCCGAUAAUUCUUGAUAUUUUGAACCUACAUUACUUUAAACGGGAUUCCUAUAUCGUCAUGCGGAUGUCAAGCCUCGUAAGGUUUCGCUUUCUGCGAACAGUGGAAGGCAGAUGUAUGGUUGCGGUUACCCACCUAGCAUUAGCUAGGAGUCAAAAUUCAAGAACCGGCAUUUUGGGGGUAUA
rnacentral:other from 1 species